rnacentral:rRNA from 1 species
UACAGAGGUCUCAAGCGUUGUUCGGAUUCAUUGGGCGUAAAGGGUGCGUAGGUGGCGGGGUAAGUCAGGUGUGAAAUUUCGGAGCUUAACUCCGGAACUGCAUUCCAUACUGCGGUGCUUGAGGACUGGAGAGGAGACUGGAAUUUACGGUGUAGCAGUGAAAUGCGUAGAGAUCGUAAGGAAGACCAGUGGCGAAGGCGGGUCUCUGGACAGUUCCUGACACUGAGGCACGAAGGCCAGGGGAGCAAACGGG